rnacentral:lncRNA from 10 species
CAGGGCCUGACUAAACCUGGAGACUCGGGUGGCCGAGGGGCUUCAUACCAGCUGAAGAGCGACAAGCCGCUGGCAGCCGCGGAUCUCACCGCCGCUCAGGAGAUCUGUUGGUAAUCUGAGGAUUUUUAUUCUACGUCGUCUUGACAGAUGGAAAACCUGAAGUAACUUCGGGCUAACCUUGUGUUUUUGGAAAAUUAGUAGACUUGGUGGUGAAGAAACUGGGAGGAGUAGGAUAUUAGCUAACUUUGCAUAGCCACAUAUAGAGCGUCGCAGCUGCAUUCCACCAAAGAGGAACCAAAAGGCCUGUGGUGUUCCCAGGGUACAUAUUCAUGCCAGAAGUGAAGUGCUUUGGUGAAUUCGUUUCCUGAAAGUUUAUCGCAUACUUGUACUGGGUUAGCUUAUCUUUCCCUUAUUCUGUUCUCAUUGCUUUAGCCUUAUGCCAGCCUGGACCAUCUUGGAGGCAGUGUAGGAUCAUGGAAGAACUUUGAAUUAGGUUUUUAGAACUUCAGCCAUAAAAAUGGGCAGAAUUUUCCUUGAUCAUAUCGGUGGUACCCGUCUGUUUUCUUGUGCAAACUGUGAUACGAUCCUGACCAACCGCUCAGAACUCAUCUCCACUCGUUUCACAGGCGCCACUGGCAGAGCAUUUCUUUUUA